UACGUAGGGGGCAAGCGUUGUCCGGAUUUAUUGGGCGUAAAGAGCGUGUAGGCGGGUAUGCAGGUCCGCUGUGAAAACUGGAGGCUUAACCUCCAGACGUCGGUGGAAACCGUAUGACUAGAGUCCGGAAGAGGAGAGUGGAAUUCCUGGUGUAGCGGUGAAAUGCGCAGAUAUCAGGAAGAACACCAAUUGCGAAGGCAGCUCGCUGGGACGCUACUGACGCUGAGACGCGAAAGCGUGGGGAGCAAACAGG
rnacentral:rRNA from 1 species